GACCUUGAAAUACCACCCUUUAAUGUUUGAUGUUCUAACGUGGACCCGUUACCCGGGUUGCGGACAGUGUCUGGUGGGUAGUUUGACUGGGGCGGUCUCCUCCUAAAGAGUAACGGAGGAGCACGAAGGUUGGCUAAUCCUGGUCGGACAUCAGGAGGUUAGUGCAAUGGCAUAAGCCAGCUUGACUGCGAGCGUGACGGCGCGAGCAGGUGCGAAAGCAGGUCAUAGUGAUCCGGUGGUUCUGAAUGGAAGGGCCAUCGCUCAACGGAUAAAAGGUACUCCGGGGAUAACAGGCUGAUACCGCCCAAGAGUUCAUAUCGACGGCGGUGUUUGGCACCUCGAUGUCGGCUCAUCACAUCCUGGGGCUGAAGUAGGUCCCAAGGGUAUGGCUGUUCGCCAUUUAAAGUGGUACGCGAGCUGGGUUUAGAACGUCGUGAGACAGUUCGGUCCCUAUCUGCCGUGGGCGCUGGAGAACUGAGGGGGGCUGCUCCUAGUACGAGAGGACCGGAGUGGACGCAUCACUGGUGUUCGGGUUGUCAUGCCAAUGGCACUGCCCGGUAGCUAAAUGCGGAAGAGAUAAGUGCUGAAAGCAUCUAAGCACGAAACUUGCCCCGA
rnacentral:rRNA from 2 species